rnacentral:snRNA from 1 species
AUGGGCUAAAGACACCACCAUGG